rnacentral:rRNA from 1 species
CCUAGGGGUGGCAGCAGUGGGGAAUAUUGGACAAUGGGGGCAACCCUGAUCCAGCCAUGCCGCGUGUGUGAAGAAGGCCCUCGGGUUGUAAAGCACUUUCAGUGAGGAAGAACGCCUGGUGGUUAAUACCCAUCAGGAAAGACAUCACUCACAGAAGAAGCACCGGCUAACUCCGUGCCAGCAGCCGCGGUAAUACGGAGGGUGCGAGCGUUAAUCGGAAUUACUGGGCGUAAAGCGCGCGUAGGUGGCUUGAUAAGCCGGUUGUGAAAGCCCCGGGCUCAACCUGGGAACGGCAUCCGGAACUGUCAAGCUAGAGUGCAGGAGAGGAAGGUAGAAUUCCCGGUGUGGCGGUGAAAUGCGUAGAGAUCGGGAGGAAUACCAGUGGCGAAGGCGGCCUUCUGGACUGACACUGACACUGAGGUGCGAAAGCGUGGGUAGCAAACAGGAUUAGAUACCCUUGUAGUC